GAUGAAGAACGUAGUGAAAUGCGAUAAGUAGUGUGAAUUGCAGAAUUCAGUGAAUCAUCGAAUCUUUGAACGCACAUUGCGCCCUGUGGUAUUCCGCAGGGCAUGCCUGUUCGAGCGUCAUUGACACCCUCAAGCUCUGCUUGGUCUUGGGCGUUUGUGCCUGCCGUUGCGCAGGGACUCGCCUCAAACUCAUUGGCAGCCUGCCUUUGCCGGUCUUUGCACAGCACAGUCGUGCCAAAGCCGCGGUGAGCAGGCGCUCCACAAGCCCUUUUCAGCUUGACCUCGGAUCAGGUAGGAAUACCCGCUGAACUUAAGCAUAUCAAUAAGCGGAGGA
rnacentral:misc_RNA from 1 species